AGUCACAGUCGAGGAUAAGGUCCGGCUCCCAUAGGAGUCCGGAUGAAGUCUACCUAUAGUUGGAGCUGAGGAUGAGGUUCGGCUCCCGUAGGAGUCCGAACGGAGUGUACCUGUACUCACAGUUGAGGAUGAGGUCCGGCUCCCGUAGGAGUCCGGACGGAGUCUACCUGUAGUCACAGUCGAGGAUGAGGUCCGGCUCCCGUAGGAGU
rnacentral:lncRNA from 1 species